CCACAGAAGAGGACUAUCAUUUUAAUAUCUCUUUAAUGUUCUGCUGGAAAUAUGCAUGUCAUUUGGGUUCUUUCUGUUCCCGCAGCAGGAAGAUAAGUCUGAUUGGCUGGUGGGAUUUAAUUAGAGGUACACUUUAUCCUCCGUAUGAAAGACAAUCGUACGAGUUUCAACAACAUGAAGCAUCGUGAGCAGGGGAUCACUUUGACGGCGAGAUGUGGGUGGAUGUGUCUGUGUUUGCGCUCACAGAGCCUGCGUGGUGUCACCGAGGUUUUGGAAUCCGCCUCAGCGCUGGGGUGGGCUGGAAAAGAUGGAGAGAGAAAGAGAGAGGGAGGGAGGAAAACAUGCUGGCAGGCUCUUCACAGACAGCUGCAGACUAGUGGGCGACCCGGUGAGAGUGUCCUAAACCUGUGCCAACGGAAGGGAGAAAAAAACAGGAUGGCAAAACACAGUAAAACUGAUCUAUGCACAGAUGCACACUUCCUUUAAGGCGUCAGAUUACAUCACUCUCACAUUCCCUACUUUAUAAAAAUUAUUACACUGUAAAGUAUUAGAUUUUCUUUUUUUGUGCUUGUAAAGUGCAUGUAAUGCCAUGUUAGACGGACUGUAUAUUUUAUAUAACUUGUAUAAUGUUGAUAUACCAGCCUACUUGAACCACAAUAAUCUGCUUGACACCUUUAAAUGUACUGAUAACCACCAUAAUAAUUAGCAUUAAUAAUCAUUAAAUGUUUUUUUUUUCAGUGCCUGUGGCCAUUAAUCAAUUAGACACAGAUGGUGCACAGCAUUUUCUACAAUACAAAACACCACAGAAGUAGACAACACGCGACAUUAAAGUGAUACAACAAACAUGAACUAAGUAACACAAAACACAGCAAAGCAAUGCACAAGAAUAAUUAAUAAGUAACAUUUAUAACCUAUAACAUUAUAUAACCGGCGGAUCUCAAACUGUGGUACACAGAUUGAUAUAAUUGAUAAAAUGCACCAACGACUGAUUAAUUAACUCGUAACAAUAAAUAAAUUGAUUGUGUUAACCUUAAUUGUAUUGUUUCUGUUCCCUCUCUUCACAGUCGGCUCAUUUAGGUUCAUAAUUAAAGUUGCAGUCUACUCAGUUUUUGUUGGUGUUAACUUAGCUUUUACCUUUUCACAUGUGCACUGUAAAAAUUAUCAUGUUGAAUUUGUUUAAAAAAGGCCGUAAAAAAAUACUUUGUUUCUGGUUUACAGGAUGGCAUA